rnacentral:lncRNA from 1 species
GUACGGGAACUCGCCGCGCUCCGCGCCCCCCAGCACGCUCAGCCCCAGCUCGCCCUGCGGUCCGCGCCUCACGGUGCACUCGCGCACCCGGCCAGUCCAGUGGCUCCUCUUCGGAGCCACUUUCGACAUGACGGCUUGCACUCAGCCACGAACAGACACGCAAAGUGAAGGCGAGCAGAGCUACCGAGGCAGGUGCCGCCGGCCGGCCGCUCACGGGAGCGGCAUGGUUCGGCGCCCGGCGGCAGCCCGCUCCGCACGCUCAGGCCAUCGCGGGACGAACUUUCCGGGCGUCCCCGCGAGCUUUGUUUGCAUUCCGGAGCCUCCGUCCGCGUCCCGGCGUCGGCCCGCCCGCCGGGCCAGAGUCCGCUCGCGCGCUCGGCUCGGUUUUCCCCUCUCCUUUCGUUCUCGACUCCAGCCGGCUUGCGGCUCGCGGCUCGCGGCUCGCGGCGGGCGGCUCCUGAGAGAAGCGGAGUCCGCGCGCUCAGCCGGAGCCCGGGGCCGGCGCGGGCGGGGGCGGAGCCGAGGCCGGCGCGCGGCCCCUUUAAGCCGAGGGAAAGGCUGGGCUUGUUUUGUUCCGCUUCAUUCUGCUCCGCGCCGAGAGCCCGCCGGACCCGGAGGCGGUGCGCAUGCGUCCACGGCCCUCCGCGCCCCGCCCCCCGGAGGGAGUCUUCCGCCGCGAGUCCCCGCGGGUCCUGAGGCCGACCUCGACCUCGGGGGAGCCUCGAGGAUCCCCGCUCCGCCUUGGUUUCUCUCCGUCCGCUGCGGUCCGCACAGGCUUCGCGGGAGGACGAGGCGCACACGCGUUUGGCGGCUUUUCAGACUCGGGCAGUCUGGCUUCCGCGUUGACAAUCCCCUUCAAACAGGGCGGGACGGGGCGUCCCUCGCUGCGCACUUGCUCACCUUCCGCAGCCCGCAGCCCGCAGGGCGCCCGAGCCCGCCUGGAGGCCCAGCGCCGGCCUCAGGUUCUGCGGGGGCCCGCAGCGCACCGCGCGCGCCCCAGCUUGGGGCGGCUGCCUCCCGGAGAGCCGCCGAAUUUGCCGUCGUCUGUCGGCAAAGACUGGAAGAAAGAUGGCAGAAAGGAGAGGGAAAGUCAUAACUGAAAACUGUGCUUUCGGGAGCGCAACUUCCGGGGCCCAGUGGAAGUUUCCCCCUGUGCUGCGUAUUGGCUUUUCCUUGGUUAUAUUGGGGCUUCCCUCCUUCCAGACACAUCACACCUAGCUUUCCUGAAGAAUACUUUACAUAUGGUCAUUUGCCAAGAACUCCUGUACCUACCUAGCAUAAAGGAUCUUCCAUCUUUCUGCCUCUCCCCCCAACCAGGAGCAACCUAAGGGGUGAGCGUGACCAGGUGGCUUAUGAUUCCCCACUAUGGCAGCAUCUUCCUGUUUCAGAAUUCCAGGCGUCUCAGCUGAGAAGGAGAAAGAUCUCAGAAUGUAGCCCACCCCAGGUUUUAUUUUUAUUAGUUGAUUUAUUUAUUUUGCAAUUGUGGAACCUAAACCCAAGACGUUACAUGUGCUAGACAGGCACUCUAGCACUGCUACAUCCUCAGCCCACACUUACAAGUUUUAGAUGUGUAGAACCUUAAAAGAAAGAGUACCAGGGCUGGGGAUUUAGCUCAGUGGUUUCGCCGCCUGCUGUGUAAGUGCAAGGACCUGAGUUCGAUCCCCGGUACCAAAAAAAAAAAAAAAAAAGAAAGAGUACCUAAGGUACAGAGGGCAGUAUGUAGAGAGGAAUAGAGACACAUUACAAUACAG